rnacentral:snRNA from 1 species
CAGCGAUACUGACGUGCAAAUCGUUCGUC